ACCUUUAAGUUGGGGACAACCAGAUGAAAAUCUGGCUAAUACCGAAUGUGGUCUUCUGGCACAUGCCAGGAUGACUAAAGGCGGGGAUUCUUCGGAACCUGCCGCUUGAAGAUGCACCCGCGUGCCAUCAGCUUGUUGGUAGGGUAACGGCCUACCAAGGCUUACGGCUAGCCGGCCUGUGAGGGUGACCGGCCACACUGGGACUGAGACACUGCCCAGACUCCUACGGGAGGCUGCAGUCGAGGAUCAUUCGCAAUGCGCGAAAGCGUGACGAUGCGACGCUGCGUGGGGGAUGAAGGCCUUCGGGUCGUAAACUCCUGUCAUGAGGGAAAAGUAUCCCUGCAAUUAAUAGUUGCGGGGCUCGAUGGUACCUCAAGAGGAAGCCACGGCUAACUCUGUGCCAGCAGCCGCGGUAAUACAGAGGUGGCGAGCGUUGUUCGGAUUUACUGGGCGUAAAGGGUGCGUAGGUGGUUUUGUGUGUCGGAUGUGAAAGCCCAUGGCUCAACCGUGGAAUUGCAUUCGAAACUGCAGAACUAGAGUGCAGGAUGGGAGAGCGGAAUUCUUGGUGUAGCGGUGAAAUGCGUUGAUAUCAAGAAGAACACCGGUGGCGGAGGCGGCUCUCUGGAAUGCUACUGACACUGAGGCACGAAAGCUGGGGGAGCAAACAGGAUUAGAUACCCUGGUAGUCCCAGCCGUAAACGGUGCACACUUGGUGUGGGGAGAUUUAACCCCCUCCGUGCCGGAGCUAACGCGUUAAGUGUGCCGCCUGGGGAGUACGGCCGCAAGGCUAAAACUCAAAGAAAUUGACGGGGGCCCGCACAAGCGGAGGAGCAUGUGGCUUAAUUCGAUGCAACGCGAAGAACCUUACCAGGGCUUGACAUAUACCUGCAAACCCCGUGAAAGCGGGGAAUCCUUCGAGGGUGGUAUACAGGUGCUGCAUGGCUGUCGUCAGUUCGUGCCGUGAGGUGUUGGGUUAAGUCCCGUAACGAACGCAACCCUUGUGACUAGUUGCCACCGGCGGUGAUGAGCCGUCGAGCACUCUAGUCAGACUGCCCGUACAAGCGGGAGGAAGGUGGGGAUGACGUCAAGUCAGUAUGGCCCUUACGCCCUGGGCUGCACACGUGCUACAAUGGUCGGUACAAUGGGAUGCAAUAUCGCGAGGUGGAGCAAAUCCUGAAAGCCGGCCCCAGUUCGGAUUGAAGUCUGCAACUCGACUUCAUGAAG
rnacentral:rRNA from 1 species